rnacentral:hammerhead_ribozyme from 1 species
CUAGCUGACGAGUCCCAUAUAGGACGAAACGCGCGUCCUAG